ensembl:lncRNA
GGGUGUUGUUGGGUUCUCCUGAGGCUAUGUGUAGGAGGGUUAGGGCGGGGUGUUGUUGGGUUCUCCUGAGGCUAUGUGUAGGAGGGUUAGGGCGGGGUGUUGUUGGGUUCUCCUGAGGCUAUGUGUAGGAGGCGUUAGGGCGGGGUGUUGUUGGGUUCUCCUGAGGCCGCCUCCAGUGAUCCACCUCUUCUCCCUCCUCCCUGACCUCUGUGUGAGCUCAGCCAAUUAAAAAUCAACCACAUUAAGCUUGGCCUAUCAGAGACAUCUCCACGUUGAAGGGGGAGGGGUCUGACCUACAGAGGCUCUCCUUAUCGGGAGGUCACAGGUCAGAGGUCAGUGGUUAGGGUCCUGUUGGGCGAUGUAGCUGUCUGCCUGUAUCCUGUCUGCCUGUAUCCUGUCUGCCUGUCACCUGUCUGCCUGUCACCUGUCUGCCUGUCACCUGUCUGCCAGUAUCCUGUCUGCCUGUAUCCUGUCUGCCUGUAUCCCUGUCUGCCUGUAUCCUGUCUGCCUGUCACCUGUCUGCCUGUUGUAAUUUCUGUCUGUUUGCCUGCCUGCUUGUCUGUGUGUCUGUCUACCUGUCUGUCUCAGUGGAAGGAAAGAGGAGACUGCUUUGACAGCCAUUAGUAUUCAGCUAGUGGCUGAGAGGGAGAGCGGGAGAGAGGGAGAGAGGGAGAGAGAGAGAGAG